rnacentral:rRNA from 1 species
UAAAGUACUUUCAGCGGGGAGGAAGGUGUUGUGGUUAAUAACCGCAGCAAUUGACGUUACCCGCAGAAGAAGCACCGGCUAACUCCGUGCCAGCAGCCGCGGUAAUACGGAGGGUGCAAGCGUUA